rnacentral:rRNA from 1 species
AGUGAACGCUGGCGGCAGGCCUAAAACAUGCAAGUCGAACGCCCUAGCAAUAGGGAGUGGCGCACGGGUGAGUAACACGUGGGAAUAUGCCUUUUGGUACGGAACAACGUCUGGAAACGGACGCUAAUGCCGUAUGGUCCCUUCGGGGUAACGAUUUAUCGCCAAAAGAUUAGCCCGCGUCUGAUUAGCUAGUUGGUGAGGUAAUGGCUCACCAAGGCGACGAUCAGUAGCUGGUCUGAGAGGACGAUCAGCCACACUGGGACUGAGAAACGGCCCAGACUCCUACGGGAGGCAGCAGUUAGGAAUAUUGGACAAUGGACGCAAGUCUGAUCCAGCCAUGCCGCGUGAGUGAUGAAGGCCUUCGGGUUGUAAAGCUCUUUAGUCCACGAUUAUAAUGACUGUAGUGGAAGAAUAAGCCCCGGCUAACUUCGUGCCAGCAGCCGCGGUAAUAC